GUAUCUGUGGCUCAGUGGGUCAGUAUGUCUGACUGUUAACCAGAAGGUUGGUGGUUCGAGGCCACCCAGGGACG